rnacentral:lncRNA from 1 species
CUAGUCUUUCGUAAUAUAUUAUUCAACCGUGGUUUUAACUUCCGUGAUUAUUUAAUUUCUGGAUUGGUGAUAAGUUUGAGAUUCUUAAUAUACAUUUUAAAUUGCAUGCAUAACAGAAAAUGAAAAGAUGGUGGUGAGAGGUAGAUCAUUGAUGAUGGUGCACACCAAUGACUACGACGAGCCAUCGGCCAACGGUAGACACAACCCACCUGGUGGGAGGCGUGGAGGAGGUAGGAGAGGGGGAAGAUAAACUUAACAAAAUGUUUUCUUACUAUGAAGAGAAAAAUAACAAGAUUAUGUUUUAGAUAUAUAUAUAUAUAUAUUUACAUAUUUAUAUAUUUCAGUCUUACUCCUUUUCUCUCAGCAUUUCAUGUCUUUAUAUACUGAGAAAUAAAACCUUUUGCAAAUAAUAUGUACUGAUAAAUUAAUAAACAUGUAUGAACACUUUCAACUUAAAGCUUAAAAGAAUACGCAAUAUCUCUAAGGCUCUCACGUCGACCAAAAGGGAUAUCAACUAUUACAUUAAAAACCGCACAUGAUCUUCAGAAAUUUUCCUUUUAAAAAGUGAGAAAACCCCAAAAUCCUUUUUUGGCCAAACAAUCUGACGUUGACAUGUUUUGAAACGGACGGUGCCUGUAAGUCAACGCCCCAUGCAACACAUGUUCGCCUCGCUUCUGUGCUAACUGUGGAAUCCACGAUUUGUCUGAGAUAGUCAACUCAUACAUCCACUAAGACGAUGCCAUAUGGUAAGCAUCAGCUGCUGUUUGGACAUCCGUAACAGGUUCUGUGUUUUCGAUCUUUGAUUUUAUUGCUACAUUAAUUCAUUAAUAUCUUGUUUUUAAUCGAGUUUGAUCUUCUCAAAGUGAUAAGUCAAAAUGAAAAUUAGAUACUGUAUGGAGCCAUUAAGAUACAAGCGUCAUUUUCGUAUUUUGGUUAAAAAAUUAUGCUGUGUAUUAAUGGAUAAGCAUACAUUCAAUCAAAACAUACAUGCGAAAUAAGUUUGGUUUUUUUUUUUGCUAAAAUCAUGCAAAAUAAUUUGUAGUACAAGUAGAUAGAUUGGCAUCAAAAUAUUCCAAGGGCAUGCCUUUUAAGGCCUCUAUAAUACCAUUCUUUGAUCAAAAUGUUUUCAAGUUGUUGUGCCCUAAAACAUCAGAGCCCUAAUAUACCUUCUAAAGUUGACAUUUCAAAAUGAGAUUGUAGAGUUUUUUACGUAUAUAGAUUAUAAUAUUCCGGGUGUGUAGCACUACCUUAUUUUAAAGUAGUGUGAAAGCUAAUAAAACAUUUUGCGUUUAUAAAAGGAGAGGGUGACGAGAGGUAUAGUUGAAUAGAGGGCAGAGAGAGAGAGAGAGAGAGAGAGAUACAAAUAUAAUAAGGGAAAUUUAGAGAGGAUGGGUUAUAGUUCUGCAAUUCGGCUAUGUUUAUGCAUCUUCUUUGCACUUUCGAUUGUCUCUUCGGCUCGACUCAGUUUAUCAUUUCCAGGUAACUAGAACAAUCUAGCUCAUCAUCGAUCCCAUCCACAUACUAUAAAAAGGAAGAAUAUAGAGUUGUAUAUUUUCUGAUGUGAUUUCAUUUUUUGGCCGUAGAAAUAUUGAUGUGACUUUUUUGGCUCUGGCUCUAGAUUUUUAACUUUCAAAAGUCUUUAAAUUUGGGUUCUAAGAAUUUGUAUUUUGAGAGUAAUUAUAAAAACAUAAAUUUAAAGAUGUGUUGUGGAUUAAAAAAAAAGAUUGUGAACUUUAAAAAAUAUAUAAAUCAAGAUUAGUGUAAAUUUAGAGAUGUGGAUAUAAUUGUGGCCGUGGAGAGCAACUACAGCAAUAGCCAAUCACACCCGAAUCCAUAAUCGUAUAUGGAUUGCCCAGUCUCCUCAGCUAUAAUUAUCAAGCAGAAUUUUAAUAAACAUGGUUUAGAUCUAUCUCGUAUAAAGUCAAGUAGCUGAUUAUACAUGCGUGCCUAAGGAGAUAGCUAGUCUUUCGUAAUAUAUUAUUCAACCGUGGUUUUAACUUCCGUGAUUAUUUAAUUUCUGGAUUGGUGAUAAGUUUGAGAUUCUUAAUAUACAUUUUAAAUUGCAUGCAUAACAGAAAAUGAAAAGAUGGUGGUGAGAGGUAGAUCAUUGAUGAUGGUGCACACCAAUGACUACGACGAGCCAUCGGCCAACGGUAGACACAACCCACCUGGUGGGAGGCGUGGAGGAGGUAGGAGAGGGGGAAGAUAAACUUAACAAAAUGUUUUCUUACUAUGAAGAGAAAAAUAACAAGAUUAUGUUUUAGAUAUAUAUAUAUAUAU